UGCAAGUUCGAAGCGGUGAAGCCCAGCUUGCUGGGUGGAUCAGUGGCGAACGGGUGAGUAACACGUGAGCAACCUGCCCCUGACUCUGGGAUAAGCGCUGGAAACGGCGUCUAAUACUGGAUAUGUGACGUGACCGCAUGGUCUGCGUCUGGAAAGAAUUUCGGUUGGGGAUGGGCUCGCGGCCUAUCAGCUUGUUGGUGAGGUAAUGGCUCACCAAGGCGUCGACGGGUAGCCGGCCUGAGAGGGUGACCGGCCACACUGGGACUGAGACACGGCCCAGACUCCUACGGGAGGCAGCAGUGGGGAAUAUUGCACAAUGGGCGCAAGCCUGAUGCAGCAACGCCGCGUGAGGGACGACGGCCUUCGGGUUGUAAACCUCUUUUAGCAGGGAAGAAGCGAAAGUGACGGUACCUGCAGAAAAAGCGCCGGCUAACUACGUGCCAGCAGCCGCGGUAAUACGUAGGGCGCAAGCGUUAUCCGGAAUUAUUGGGCGUAAAGAGCUCGUAGGCGGUUUGUCGCGUCUGCUGUGAAAUCCGGAGGCUCAACCUCCGGCCUGCAGUGGGUACGGGCAGACUAGAGUGCGGUAGGGGAGAUUGGAAUUCCUGGUGUAGCGGUGGAAUGCGCAGAUAUCAGGAGGAACACCGAUGGCGAAGGCAGAUCUCUGGGCCGUAACUGACGCUGAGGAGCGAAAGGGUGGGGAGCAAACAGGCUUAGAUACCCUGGUAGUCCACCCCGUAAACGUUGGGAACUAGUUGUGGGGUCCAUUCCACGGAUUCCGUGACGCAGCUAACGCAUUAAGUUCCCCGCCUGGGGAGUACGGCCGCAAGGCUAAAACUCACAGGAAUUGACGGGGACCCGCACAAGCGGCGGAGCAUGCGGAUUAAUUCGAUGCAACGCGAAGAACCUUACCAAGGCUUGACAUAUACGAGAACGGGCCAGAAAUGGUCAACUCUUUGGACACUCGUAAACAGGUGGUGCAUGGUUGUCGUCAGCUCGUGUCGUGAGAUGUUGGGUUAAGUCCCGCAACGAGCGCAACCCUCGUUCUAUGUUGCCAGCACGUAAUGGUGGGAACUCAUGGGAUACUGCCGGGGUCAACUCGGAAGGAAGGUGGGGAUGACGUCAAAUCAUCAUGCCCCUUAUGUCUUGGGCCUCCCGCAUGCUACAAUGGCCGGUACAAAGGGCUGCAAUACCGCGAGGU
rnacentral:rRNA from 1 species